rnacentral:lncRNA from 10 species
CAGAGAUGAAAUUCUCAGGGGGGCUGUAGUCCCUUGGAGAAUCUGAUGCGAGGUAACCACGCUUUUUCCCAGAAAAUGCCCUCAUGCACCAUUUCACACACAGUGGGUCCUUGAAUAGCAUCGUUUUAUUCAAUGUCAUUUUGUUAUAACAUUGAGAAAAAAAUUGAUUCCCGGCUGGGGCCACUGUCUGUGCACCGUCUAGACGUCCUCCCGGUCGGAGAGCUUUCUGGGCACUCUGGUUUCCUCCCACGCCCCAAAGAUGUGCAGGUGAGGUUUGUUGGUGUCUGGUCGCAGUCUGAGUGUG